GCAAGAUGCCUCAUUCCAUAGGUCCAUGACAGAAAAUAACACAAACGUGUUGUCACCACUUUGUAGGAGAUAAUGUGGUGUAUGAUAUAAUACAGAAGAGCAGAAGUGGAGGAAAAUGUUCAGGCCAGUUAAAGUAGAAAUAAUUUAAAAACAAGUUCUUCAUCAUCAGAAAAUAUUCUGUUGCAAAAGUACAAGAUUUCACUCGCAGCUUGUUUAUGUGCUGCUCUUCCUGUCGGGCGUAACCAUGAUGGCAACCAUCCAAAAGGAGCAUCAGGAAAUGCCAAAAGAAGUUAUGAAAGCCGGUUGUGGAAGGAGCUGUUGCUGCUGAUACAGGAAGUGAGACCCCACCAUGUCACAGAUGAUCCUCUGCUGGGAAUCGACACCACUCCGCCUUCAGUCUCCAUCAAUGAACCUGGACAGGACACAUAUCGGACAACUUCUCCUCCACCCACUGUCAAAAAACCAGGGCAAGAAACACACCUGUGUCGCCCUGUUCUUCUCCCACCUCAGGUAUACUACCUACCUCUUAUACCCUAUUAUGUUCUCUCACCUAAUCCAGUAAGUGGAAGUUUUUACAUUCAUGGACAAGGUGCAGAUGACGCCAGGUCCACACACAGAGAGCGUGAGGUUCUUCAUCACUCAGCCUCUGCAGCAUCUGGCUUCCUCCAAAUUUAAGUGGGAAAAACCAGUGAGAAAGUUUCAUCAAAGUGGGUUCAAACCAAAGGUUUGCACUCAAGCUGCAUCAAGUGAAGCUUCAUCUGAACAGCACAGUGAGUGAAGAGAUGCUGGAGGUGCCACUGCACAGAAAUGAUUCAGUGCCUUACUAACAUGCAUUGGUCCAGAUUGUAAAUGUAUGUCUUAAAGAUUGCAGGUUGAGACAAGGUGUCUGCAUUGUUCACCAAAUUAAACUAAAAACUUGUAAAGAGCUUUUUAAAGCCACAGAACAUGCAAUUCCGAAACACCUAUUUUCACAGAAUGAUGGAUGAUGGAAGGACUAGAGUUACUUAUCAAAACAGAUUACUUCUGUCAAUAUUACUAAUCAAAAACUCCAUAAGACACCUGACACCCCACAACCACAUAGAAAAAUGUUCAUACGCAACAAAUUUUUUGUGUACAUAACUUUUCAUGACACUGCGACACUUUUUUCCAGCUUAAUGGAGUUUUUUUUUUAAUUGUCUUCAGUCUUUAACAGAGACACACCACAGUAGGAAGUUCUCUCCUCUUCUACCUGUGUCGUCUGUUUUAAGCUUGUCAACCUGUUAACAACUGUCACACAGAAGAUGUCCUACGGAGUAACCUGUAAACAGGACAAACAUAUUAGUGGUGCUGAUAUCAGUAGUUUAUUGUAUGUUAAGUCCAACACAUUCAAAUUGGAAAGGGGGGGGGGACUAAAAUAAAAAAAACUUAACAAAACUAAACAAAAAUAUUCUGCACCUGCAACAGUUUUGUAAUAGCAACAAGGGGGGACACAGUAAAAAUGAAGAUGGCAGCCAACGGUUUACCACACCUGCUAAAGCCAAGAAGGUUCUUCUAUUUCCAUUUUAAAAAAAGAAAAAAGGGCUGGAAUGAUUCACAAUGAGGAGCCACUCUACUGCAUUUUCAACCACAGGAAAAAAUAAAUGUACAGCUUCUUUCUCUCUUUCUUCUGCUUUCUUCUGAGGAUCCUUUUCAGUUGGGGGGGGUCAUCGGACAAAAUCAGUGAAAAAAAAAGAACUAUCCAACCACAAACGUAAUAUGCUUUUUUCCCACCACUGCGAUGUAAAAGCACAAAAUCGGUCUGAAAGCAUGAUGGCUCUUCCUCACCACUCUCAUACUGAAGGUAUGAAUCGCAAAUCAAGUGCCCAUGUUAAGCAAUUGCUUGACAAACAUUUGGGGUAGAGGCACCAAUGAGGAGGAUCUGUUAAAAACACUCGUUUGGCUGUAGUUUUUCUUGAAUUUUGUGUCAAAGGCUGAUGGCAACAAAGAGUUUCUCUAUUGAAAAUAUUUCAUCUUCCAUUAUAAGGGUCAGCAGCCAAAAACUACAUGAAUAUGCUAUGUCUGUAAAGCAAUUUUUGUGUGAGAGAGCAAAGAUUAUUUCAUGUUUUUUUUUCCAUUUCCAGAUCAGACAUUUGGAGAGAGGUUGUGUUCAAACUGAGAUUGUCCCAGGUAUGUUGGAAAUAGUGCAAUGCCACCUGACAAGGAAGACCUCAUAAGGAUAUUUAUCCAGAAAAUGCUACAUCAAAUUUCACUUCCCAAUUUCAGUGCAAGAUAACUAUGAAAAUAAAAAACAUCUUUGUGUCA